rfam:Oxalobacter formigenes OXCC13 genomic scaffold supercont1.1, whole genome shotgun sequence.
GUUCACUGCCGUAUAGGCAGCUUAGAAG